UCGUCACACUAUCAUUAACUGAAUCCAUAGGUUAAUGAGGCGAACCGGGGGAACUGAAACAUCUAAGUACCCCGAGGAAAAGAAAUCAACCGAGAUUCCCCCAGUAGCGGCGAGCGAACGGGGAGGAGCCCAGAGCCUGAAUCAGCAUGUGUGUUAGUGGAAGCGUCUGGAAAGGCGCGCGAUACAGGGUGACAGCCCCGUACACAAAAGCGCAUGUGCUGUGAGCUCGAUGAGUAGGGCGGGACACGUGGUAUCCUGUCUGAAUAUGGGGGGACCAUCCUCCAAGGCUAAAUACUCCUGACUGACCGAUAGUGAACCAGUACCGUGAGGGAAAGGCGAAAAGAACCCCGGCGAGGGGAGUGAAAAAGAACCUGAAACCGUGUACGUACAAGCAGUGGGAGCCCCACCACCAAAGCAUUUGCUGUACCGCGUUGACGGAGCGAAGCGACGUCAAACCGAUAAAACAGCAGUGUAAAGUGAGCCGCAGGGCGCUUUGCGCGACAGC
rnacentral:rRNA from 1 species